rfam:Exophiala mesophila strain CBS 40295 unplaced genomic scaffold supercont1.5, whole genome shotgun sequence.
GGGCCUGUGGUCUAGGGGUAUGGCGUUCGCUUCGCAUUAUUUAUUAACCUGCGAGUUUGUGAAAGGUCCGGGGUUCAAAUCCCCGCUGGUCCA